UACAGAGGCCCCAAGCGUUACUGAGAAUCACUGGGUUUAAAGGGUGCGUAGGUGGCGCGUUAAGUCCGUUGUGAAAUCCCUGGGCUCAACCCAGGAAAUGCUUCGGAUACUGGCGUGCUUGAGGCUAGUAGGGGUCACUGGAACUGACGGUGGAGCGGUGAAAUGCGUAGAUAUCGUCAGGAACGCCAAAUGGUGAAGACAGGUGACUGGGCUAGGAUCUGACACUGAGGCACGAAAGCGUGGGGAGCGAACGGGG
rnacentral:rRNA from 1 species